ACUUCAGACUUGGACUGGAGCUAAAUCACCAGCUUUCCAGGGUCUCCAACUCACCAACUAUUGAACUUGGGACUUUGUAGCCUUCACAGUCAUCUGUGCUCCACGGUGACGCAGCCAUGCUGGACCAGUUCAGACUAAACACAUAUACAUCAUUGUCUUCAUGUGUGCUUCUAAUGUGUCCACAUCAAACUCUGGAGAGGACUCUUGGGGACAGUAAAUGGGGCUGAGACCACCUCGAAGUAAUUUUCAACGUGCGUACCUGUCAUCCUCCCGUCACUUCUCCUGGAGCAGCCUCAGGGCAAGCCCACCGGGGCAAUGAUUCCAUGUUUCCAUCCAACCGCUAAACUCAUCCUUCAUGACCUGGGCCCAGGCCAACUCACCAGAUCGAGCUCCUAAGAAGAGAGCAUAUUGUGUGGUUGACAGGAAUUCCACUGAGAAGAGCUGGUCACCUCUUGGCUUCUUUAAUUGUUCCUCAUAAGGAACAUUUACGAUAUCAUGACGGGUGUUUGGAGGGAUGUUCAGACAGUAAUUUACUUGGGGGUAGAAAAACCAACCUUAUAAACACUGAAAAGAAGACAAAGCAUAUCAAAGGUUGCAUUUUUCUCUUUCACUCAAUAUUGAACAAAUAUUUAUUAAAUAUCCACCAUGUGUCAGACAUUACUCUGUGCUCUGGAGGCUCAAGGAAAUGAGAAUCAAUUGUGCCUUCAUCAAAAUCCCAGCUAACCAGGCAGGCAGUGUGAUAAGCUCUCUGGUCAGCUAAGUACACAUGCAGACCAGAUUCCCACUGAGGACUUGGGAAGGUUCUCAAGCAAAUGGUAAUUCAGCCGAGACUUAAGGGAUCAUCUCAGAGUUACUCAUGAGAGAACAGGCAGCACACAUAUGGGAAAAGUGUGUUCCUAUUAGAAAAAGGUGUAUAAGAAAGCAUAGGGAUAAAAAAAAAAAAAUAGCGCUGGUCAUUAAAAAUGACAAAUCAAGUGAUGGCAGCUGGAACACUGAGUGUGCAGAAAAGUGGCCAUGGGGAGGCUGCAUAAGUAGACAGGGAACCCCACAAUGAAGGGACUUAGAAGCAAUAUUGGGACAUUCAGACUUUUUCCUAAGAGCACAAAAGAGCCAGUAAAGCCCUUUAAGCAAGAUCCUAACCACAAAUCCUAAAUAAAAAUGCUUGUAGAAGGGUCAUAUCUGCCACAUUCAUUCGAUCAGAGUCUACCAAGUUCCAGACUCUAGGCUGGCCCUUGCAUGGACUGUACAUCAUCAACUGAAUCUAAGAAAACUUAAGAAAGCUCUCUUUCAGAGUUUGCCAAAGUCUGAAAAAAAGAGGGGAAACAGAAAGAAGAGUAGAUUAGUGUGAUGCUUAGUUUUAUGGGUCAAUAGGCUCAGAGGUGGUGCCCAGUGGUUUGGUCAAACUGUAGUUUAGAUGUUGCUAUGAAGGUCUUUUGUAGAUAUGAUAAACAUUUAUAAUCAGUUGACUUAAAUAAAGCACAUCAUCCUCUUUCGUGUAAGGGGCCUCAUCCAAUCAGCCAAGAGCCUGAGGUGCAAAAAUCAAGGUUUCCCAGAGAAACAGGAAUUCUGCCUCAAGACUAUAACAUGGAAACUCUGCCUGAAUUUCCAGUCGGCUGACCUGCCCUGAGGCUUUGAGACUCAAGACUGCUACAGCAACAUUUACGUGAAUGUCCAGCCUGCCAGCCCCAACAAUCACUUACUUAAAAUUAAUCUCUAGAUAAAUUGACAGUAGAUAGAUAUAAGGAAAUGUAUACACACACACACAGUUGGUUCUAUAUCUGUAUCAUCAGAUCUCUGACUUCUAUAACCAGGAGUCUGAAAACCCACUCCAAUCUCCCCUCUCUAUCAUCUGACUUCUCUGAGCCUAUUGUCUCAUCAGCAUAAUAGAGACUAAUCACCCUCCUUUAGCACCAUGGCUGGCACAUAGUAGGUGCUUCAAAUCAUUUCUUUUCCCCUUUCCUUGAUUGAUUGAUAGGAUAGCUACAUAUCCAAUGAAGGGGCAUUUUUCUGCUGACACAGGCUGCACUUGAUGAAAUCUGAUCUAGAAUGGGAAAUACUAAACAAAAUAAAAAAGAAUUUACUCUCCGAGUAUUAUUGCCACUGUGAUGGAUGGCUGCUCCAAAGGCUAUUUCUCAAGAGUUCACAGUAGAGAAAAAUGUUCAGGCUUGAUUUUGUAUGCGUGUAGAAAAUAAAUUGUAUGACAAGGGUGGCGACAUUUGGACGGGGGAGAGGGCUUAGCCAAGGAAUUAAACAUGUCAGGAGCCUCCAAAGAAAAAGAAUGUUGAAAUGGAAGGUGAAAGGGGCAUAUUUGGAAAACUUGACAAGUGGCACAGUGGGAGGAAAGGUGGCAUUCUGGAAUGGGGUGUCAGCCACUCUCUGCCACUAAAGCCACGAUUUGCCCUUAAUAAUUCAGCGAGGUAGAAAGGAAAAAAUAUGAGCCCAACUUCUAAAGCUCUAUUAUCACAACUGGCUUAAAUUAUUUUCCCUUGCUUAAUUGACCACACAGCAAACAGAGAGAGAAUAAAAUCAGCCAGGGCUUUUUUUUUUUUUUUUCUUUUAAAUGGAAUCUUUGCCUAGGUAAUCUCUCAAGUUCCUGUCAACAAAACUCCCAACAUUAGAAAUAAACGAGACCCUGGGAGACAAAAUAACUGGAAUAAUGUCACACAGAACAUAAGUAGAAAACCCAAGUAGAAAACCCAGGCCUGGGAGCUCCCAACCUCAGGGCUUUGCAAGGAAUGAAGAGUAUUAUCCUGGCAAGGAUGGCACACAGGUUGCAGUCAGCACACCAACUGUAAUUGAUUAAUUGUGCUGGGUUGAGGUGUGUGAGAGCAAAUGCAGGUUCACCAUGAAAGCAGGGCUUAAUUGAUUAGUGAUAUCUGUCGUGGGAGCCAGAGGUUCUCCAGGCAGGCCAAAUAUUUGUCAUUCCUUAUCUGGUCUAACUUUUUCUUUUUUCCCCUGUAUUACAGGUCUGCAAAAUAUAGCUGGUGGGCCAAAUUGGGCCUACUGCCUGUUUUUAUAAAUAAAAUUUUACUA
rnacentral:lncRNA from 1 species